AUUGAACGCUGGCGGCAGGCCUAACACAUGCAAGUCGAACGAGUGGCGGACGGGUGAGUAAUGUCUGGGAAACUGCCUGAUGGAGGGGGAUAACUACUGGAAACGGUAGCUAAUACCGCAUACCAUCAGAUGUGCCCAGAUGGGAUUAGCUUGUUGGUGGGGUAACGGCUCACCAAGGCGACGCGCCCUAGCUGGUCUGAGAGGAUGACCAGCCACACUGGAACGGAGACACGGUCCAGACUCCUACGGGAGGGAGGAGUGGGGAAUAUUGCACAAUGGGGGCAAGCCUGAUGCAGCCAUGGCGCGUGUAUGAAGAAGGCCUUCGGGGUGGAAAGUACUUUCAGCGGGGAGGCGUUACCCGCAGAAGAAGCACCGGCUAACUCCGUGCCAGGCGCCGCGGUAAUUC
rnacentral:rRNA from 1 species